GUGGGGAAUAUUGGACAAUGGGCGAAAGCCUGAUCCAGCAAUGCCGCGUGAGUGAUGAAGGCCUUAGGGUUGUAAAGCUCUUUUACCAGGGAUGAUAAUGACAGUACCUGGAGAAUAAGCUCCGGCUAACUCCGUGCCAGCAGCCGCGGUAAUACGGAGGGAGCUAGCGUUGUUCGGAAUUACUGGGCGUAAAGCGCGCGUAGGCGGUUUAUCAAGUCAGGGGUGAAAUCCCGGGGCUCAACCCCGGAACUGCCCUUGAAACUGGUUCACUAGAAUCCUGGAGAGGCGAGUGGAAUUCCGAGUGUAGAGGUGAAAUUCGUAGAUAUUCGGAAGAACACCAGUGGCGAAGGCGACUCGCUGGACAGGUAUUGACGCUGAGGUGCGAAAGCGUGGGGAGCAAACAGGAUUAGAAACCCCUGUAGUCC
rnacentral:rRNA from 1 species